rnacentral:misc_RNA from 1 species
CCGCCGGAGAAGCAGCAGUCCAAAACAGGACGAGAAACGCUGGCGAGAAACAAAGGAAGACAUUUUUUUCCAGCCCUCUCGACCAGCCCAUGUAGAGAUGAUGCGCCCAAGCGAUUAUUCAGUUGGCGCCAGCAACAGCAGUUAGCCCGCCAACACCUUCAUUCGCCCAGCCGUGCGACCGGCGGUCUCCUAUGAGCCACUGUGCCGUGCCGAUGCUUACGACUUCAUAAAAUAGAAGCCAUCCACGGCCUCGCACGUCAGCGCGCUUGCGUCGCCGGAUCUGAUGCGGCGCUCCAUCUCAGCUGCCCCUUUCUCCCCACCCCCACCCUCAUACGCAUCGUCGGGAACGCAGUCACAGCAGUACGUCGCCCUGAGCGCGUCAUCACCCAUCACAGCGGCUGCGCUGGCGCCACCGCCACAGCUCUAGCUUCAUCGGAGAGCUGUUCAGCGAACCCCUUCGUAUCUGGUAGAAUACCAGCACCUGGACAGCAGCAGCAGCCAGGAAGCGGCGAUGACGAUACGGACAGCCUAAAGCAUCCGUAGUAAAUCCGGUGGCUCGGCAGCGGCCAGUUGCCCCGAGGUGGGAGCGGCGCAUGUAUCACAACACUACCUUCUGCCUUGGCCACAUCUUGCGAGAGGUGCAUGGGCGAGAACCGUGGGUGGGGUGGUGGGGUGGUGGGGACAUGCCGGCAAAAGCGGCCUAGGAAGUGUGUAGCGAGGUAAGGGGGGAAGAGACUGAUGAAGCACGGAUCGGCGGUGAGGCACACGAAGGAGGGAUGCAAAGAAGCACGCAUCGUGGAGGUGACUGGUCUGCAUGUGUCCCCUGCGCCAGGUUGUCAGCUGGCUGCAUGUGUGUUCGGUAUGCACUGGGAAAAAUUGGCGCUCGCGGCUCGUGUGUGCGCACGUGACACCAGUCGCUCACCCAUCACCUCUCGUGCUCGACCGUGGUAUUUCUGCGAAUGCGGCAGGCGAGAACGGAAUUGUGCGGAGUGCAGUGGAGGGUUGCGCUGUUGUGCAUGAGAUCCUUGGAAUUGAUGAUUUCUCAUAAUCAUGAUCAGGGUGCAUUCGUGUGUGUGUGUGUGUGUGCAAGCACUGCUGCCAACAGGUGUUGACGUCGUUGUAUGUGCAGGGGAGCAUGCUGAGGAGGCGGUGUGUCAUCUUCCUGAUGACGUUGAUGUGUGUGUGUGUUGAUUGGGGAAGGUGAAGGUCGACGGGCAGACGCGGAAAGGGGAAUACUGCGGCGGGCUCCACACCCCCUCCCCCCACCCCUCGUUCCCUUGCACAUGCCCCUCUUUGCUCCUAGCACGGGUGACAGAGGGCAAC